UGAGUAACGCGUGGGUAACCUACCCCAAAGUCCGGGAUAACAGCGGGAAACCGCUGCUAAUACCGGAUGUCUUUACCUUGGGGCAUCUUGAGGUAAAGAAAGGCAACGCUUUGGGAUGGGCCCGCGUCCCAUUAGCUAGUUGGUGAGGUAACGGCUCACCAAGGCGACGAUGGGUAGCCGGCCUGAGAGGGUGGACGGCCACACUGGGACUGAGACACGGCCCAGACUCCUACGGGAGGCAGCAGUAGGGAAUAUUGCGCAAUGGACGGAAGUCUGACGCAGCGACGCCGCGUGAGCGGUGAAGGUCUUCGGAUCGUAAAGCUCUGUCCUUGGGGAAGAAGGCGAAAGCUUGACGGUACCCAAGAAGAAAGCCCCGGCUAACUACGUGCCAGCAGCCGCGGUAAUACGUAGGGGGCGAGCGUUGUCCGGAAUUACUGGGCGUAAAGGGUGCGUAGGCGGCCCUUUAAGUCGGAUGUGAA
rnacentral:rRNA from 1 species